GAUGAACGCUGGCGGCGUGCAUAACACAUUCAAGUCGAACGAACAAAGAGGGGCUUGCUCCUCUGAGUUAGUGGCGGACGGGUGAGUAACGCGUGAGGAACCUGCCUUUGAGAGUGGAAUAACAACCGGAAACAGUUGCUAAUACCGCAUGAUAUAGUAUCUUGGCAUCAAGAAACUAUCAAAGAUUUAUCGCUCAAAGAUGGCCUCGCGUCUGAUUAGGUAGUUGGUGAGGUAACGGCUCACCAAGCCGACGAUCAGUAGCCGGACUGAGAGGUUGACCGGCCACAUUGGAACUGAGAUACGGUCCAGACUCCUACGGGAGGCAGCAGUGGGGAAUAUUGGGCAAUGGGCGAAAGCCUGACCCAGCGACGCCGCGUGAGGGAAGAAGAUCUUCGGAUUGUAAACCUUAGUCAACAGGGAAGAAGAAAGUGACGGUACCUGUGGAGGAAGCCACGGCUAACUACGUGCCAGCAGCCGCCGUAACAC
rnacentral:rRNA from 1 species